GAGUGCGAUCAUACCAGUGUUAAUGCACCGUAUCCCAUCAGAACUCUAUAGUUAAGCACAUUUGGGCUAGAGUAGUACUGGGAUGGGUGAUCUCUCGGGAAGUCCUUGGGUGACCUCU
rnacentral:rRNA from 1 species